rnacentral:sRNA from 1 species
AGCGAGCCCGGCACCCAGCUGUCGUCCACUUGCGUUUAGUGUAGCUGCCACCCAGCAAUUAACGCGCCUGGGCUCUCCUUUGGAAACCGAGCAGAGAAGAACAAUACCACAGCGAGUUCAACUGGACCAGAAAGCAGGUCCUUGAAAAGGAUGCAAGAAAAAAGGAAAAAAAAAUCCACAGCAGCCUGCAGUGAUUGAAGUUCAAUGGCGUACUCUAUUAUCUUCUCCUGUAUGUUUAAAUAAACCCC